rnacentral:lncRNA from 1 species
UCCACCCACCUCGGCCUCCCAAUGUGCUGGGAUUACAGGCGUGAGCCACCGCGCCCGGCCUGAUUUUUUUUUUUAAUUAUAAACCCAACAUAUUGAAUUUAACGGGUUUCUAUGCUGUUAAGGUCUUGGCAUCAGAUGAGUUUCUGGCUGAGGCCCUGGAAGGUAAUGGGGGCUGCUGUGAAGUGGCUGGAGCCAUCAUUCUGAUCAGCACAACAGGGCUGCCACUCAGGGCGCUCAGAGCAGCCAGGGACUUCCGGUUGGAGCCUCCACUGCUGCUUCUCGAGUUCCACCCAGCUUCCAGCACUUAGACGCUGACAACUCAGAAUGGAGGGGCUUUAAGGGUCCCAGGUGAGUGUCUCUAGUGCUGCAUUGUUCAACAGUAGCCCCUAGCCUCAUGUGGCUACUUAAAUGUGCAGCAGUUAAAUACAUUCAAUUUCCCAUAAAUCUAAUUUAAAUCAGUUCCCUAGUUGCACUAGCUGCACUCAAGUGUGGGUCAGUAGCCAAAAGUAACUACGGUAUUGGACAGUGCAGACAUAGAACAUUGCCAUUAUCACAGAAAGUCCUACAGGACAGUGCUAUGUAGACACUAUUUCCAGCCCCAGGCAGUGGGUCAGAUCCUUGACCUAAGCCUGGAUAUCUCCAGCUUUCUCCCUGCUCCCUGGACCCAGCAGCCUCUGGCUGGGGCCUGCUUCCCCAAAGGGAAACAGUCUGAGAUAGUUCUGCCAUCUGCACCAUUCUCCUGACACGCUCCCUAAUCUCAGUGACUGUUUCAUUCAGCAGUUAUUCACUAUGAGAUUAUACUGGAUUAGGGUUGGCCCUAAUCCAAUAUGAAUGUUGCCCUUAUUAGAAGAAGAAAAGAGAUCUGGAGAAACAAGAACACCACGUAACCACGGAGGCAGAGAUUGAAGUGCUGGAGGCACAGGUCAAGGAAUGCCAAUGAUUGCUGGCAACCACUACAAACUAGGAGAGAUGAAUGGAUUCUCAGAGCCUUUAGAACUAUGAGAGAAUAAAUGCGUGUUGUUUUAAGCCACCAAACUUACGGUAAUUUGUUAUGGAAGCCCUGGAAAACUAAGAUAGCAUAAAAAUCAAUUACUGUAUGUGAUCAAACACUGAAUGGGCUAGGGUGAGCCAGUGUGUCUGGGAGGAUACGUCUCAUUUGCCUUUUACUUAAUUCUACCAACAUUUGGUCUGUGCUUUUAUCUCUAAUAAAUCACAUGAUUUGAGUUAGUUUUCACUUUUCUUACUCCGACAGAGAUCCUUUAGGGAAUGGCAAAAUCCCAAUGGAGGGAUUAAUGUACAAAAGUAAUUAAGAAUAUUGGAGGUUUUUGGAUUUUACUAGAGAUUCUGCAGACCAGCUGCUGAUAAUGUUGGGCUAAAUUGGCAGUAUCCAACCUUCUCUGUUCCUCCUGGGGACAUGUAGUAAGGAAGGAGACCACUACUACUGCUGCCCUCCUACCCCCAAACUUGCCUAGUUCAUAAGACAGGAGGAAAGAGAGAAAGCAAAAAGUUAGAAAGAAACAAAAGUAAGAUAAAUAGCCAGACAACCUUGGCACCACCACGUGGCCCUAGGAGUUAAAAUAAUAAUAAUAAUAAUAAUAACAUCAACCCCUGACCUAAACUACUUGUGUUAUCUUUAAAUUCCAGACAUUGUAUGAAAAAGCAUUGCAAAACUUUCUGUUCUGUUAGCUGAUCCAUGUAGCCCCCAGUCACGUUUCCCACACUUGCUCGAUUUAUCACGACCCUUUCACAUGGACCCCUUAAAGUUGUAAGCCUUUAAACAGGCCAAGAAUUUCUUUUUCGGGGGGCUCCGCUCUUAAGCCACAAGUCUGCCAGUGCUUCCGGCCGAAUAAACCUCUUUCUUCUUUAAUCCGGUGUCUGAGGAGUUUUGUCUGCAGCUCGUCCUGCUACAUUUCUUGGUUCCCUGACUGAGAAGCGAGGUGAUUAAGGGACGUUCAAGCCAGCCCCUUAGGCAGCUUAUGCCUGCCCUGUAGAGCAUCCCUGUGGGGGGCUCCAGCCAGCUUGCGCGAUGCAGAUCCUGAGAGUGCUCCCGGGUAGGCAUUUGCCCCCGUGGAAUGCCUCGUCAGAGUGGUGCAUGGCAAGCCCCCGUGGAGGAUCAACGCAGUGGCUGAACACUGGGAAGGAACUAGCACUUUAAGUCUGGACAUUUGAAACUUGGUAAGACUGGUCUUUGGAACUUGCACACUCCAUUUGAGUGGAAGCGUGGCCUGAUCACCCAUGGCGUGCCUGUACCGGCACUUUGGUUUUUGUUUUUGACUUGACUUGAAAUGCUUGAUACUUUGGUUUUUGUUUUUGACUUGACUUGAAUUACUUGAUAAACAGGCGUGCCUUUAUUGGCACUUUGGCUUUGGUUCUGAUUUUGACUUGGCUUAAAUUCCUUGACAAACAGGUGUGCCUUUAAUGACACUUUGGUUUUAGUUUUGAUUUUCCUUUAGUGUGAAUUAGACGAGUGAGUAACCUUUUACCCUUUCCUUCUUGUAGUGUGAAUGUUGUUUUGUCUCAAGAGAAAAAUAGGUCAAACACAAAGUAAGCCCACUCCGCUAGAAACUGUGUUAAAAAAAAAUUUCAAGAAGAAAAAUAAAAGGAAAGUCAUCUAAUCAUCAAAACUUACUCUAUUAAAAUGCAUGUUACAGAACCUUAAGAAAGGUUUUGCAGGGGAUUACAGAGGUUAAGCCCCCAGAGGUUAAGAACUCUAUGUGAAUUAGAAUUGCCCUCUUUUGCUGGGCGCGGUGGCUCACGCCUAUA